rnacentral:misc_RNA from 1 species
GAUGAAGAACGUAGCGAAAUGCGAUAAGUAGUGUGAAUUGCAGAAUUCAGUGAAUCAUCGAAUCUUUGAACGCACAUUGCGCCCUUUGGUAUUCCAAAGGGCAUGCCUGUUCGAGCGUCAUUUGUACCCUCAAGCUUUGCUUGGUGUUGGGCGUCUUGUCUCUAGCUUUGCUGGAGACUCGCCUUAAAGUAAUUGGCAGCCGGCCUACUGGUUUCGGAGCGCAGCACAAGUCGCACUCUCUAUCAGCAAAGGUCUAGCAUCCAUUAAGCCUUUUUUUUCAACUUUUGACCUCGGAUCAGGUAGGGAUACCCGCUGAACUUAAGCAUAUCAAAAGCGGAGGA